CUUUUUCGUCGAAAAGAAAUGAAAUAGUCCACACUAGCAGCAUGUAGUUUGCUCCAGUCAGAUCAGUUUCUGGUAUUCGUCCGUCCUUCCUGCGUUCAAUUUUAAAUAUAUCUAACAUCUUCUAAUAAUCUAUAAUUUAUAAAAGGUAAAUAAGUAAAAAAAAAUCAACCACUAAAUGAUGUCAAUGUAAGAACUGGUAACUAAUUUGAUCUCUUCCUAGUUUCAAUCCUUUGCAAUCAGUUUUAUAAACAUCAGGAACCCGAAAGAACAGCUAAAAUGAAAGAAAUAACAAUUAAAGAAAAUUCAAAGACAUUGACGGGCUGAAACGUUGUCUAAAGCAGAUAAUCGCAGAAAGGGAUUGAUAUAAAGAAACUUCUCGACGAAAAAAAAAACCAUUGAAUCAGAUGGUAACACAACAAUA